CCUACGGGUGGCAGCAGUGGGGAAUAUUGGACAAUGGGGGGAACCCUGAUCCAGCCAUGCCGCGUGUGUGAAGAAGGCCCUCGGGUUGUAAAGCACUUUCAGUGAGGAAGAACGCCUGGUGGUUAAUACCCAUCAGGAAAGACAUCACUCACAGAAGAAGCACCGGCUAACUCCGUGCCAGCAGCCGCGGUAAUACGGAGGGUGCGAGCGUUAAUCGGAAUUACUGGGCGUAAAGCGCGCGUAGGUGGCUUGAUAAGCCGGUUGUGAAAGCCCCGGGCUCAACCUGGGAACGGCAUCCGGAACUGUCGAGCUAGAGUGCAGGAGAGGAAGGUAGAAUUCCCGGUGUAGCGGUGAAAUGCGUAGAGAUCGGGAGGAAUACCAGUGGCGAAGGAGGCCUUCUGGACUGACACUGACACUGAGGUGCGAAAGCGUGGGUAGCAAACAGGAUUAGAUACCCUUGUAGUC
rnacentral:rRNA from 1 species